AGUGAACGCUGGCGGUAGGCCUAACACAUGCAAGUCGAACGGCAGCACAGUAAGAGCUUGCUCUUACGGGUGGCGAGUGUCGGGCGGGUGAGGAAUACAUCGGAAUCUACUUUUUCGUGGGGGAUAACGUAGGGAAACUUACGCUAAUACCGCAUACGACCUACGGGUGAAAGCAGGGGAUCUUCGGACCUUGCGCGAUUGAAUGAGCCGAUGUCGGAUUAGCUAGUUGGCGGGGUAAAGGCCCACCAAGGCGACGAUCCGUAGCUGGUCUGAGAGGAUGAUCAGCCACACUGGAACUGAGACACGGUCCAGACUCCUACGGGAGGCAGCAGUGGAGAAUAUUGGACAAUGGGCGCAAGCCUGAUCCAGCCAUACCGCGUGGGUGAAGAAGGCCUUCGGGUUGUAAAGCCCUUUUGUUGAGAAAGAAAAGCAGCAGGUUAAUACCCCGCUGUUCUGACGGUACCCAAAGAAGAAGCACCGGCUAACUUCGU
rnacentral:rRNA from 1 species